UGGGGAAUCUUCCGCAAUGGACGAAAGUCUGACGGAGCAACGCCGCGUGAGUGAAGACGGCCUUCGGGUUGUAAAGCUCUGUGAUCCGGGACGAAAGAGCCUGAGGUAAAUAGCCUAAGGAAGUGACGGUACCGGAAAAGCAAGCCACGGCUAACUACGUGCCAGCAGCCGCGGUAAUACGUAGGUGGCAAGCGUUGUCCGGAAUUAUUGGGCGUAAAGCGCGCGCAGGCGGCUUACUAAGUCCAUCUUAAAAGUGCGGGGCUUAACCCCGUGGUGGGAUGGAAACUGGAAAGCUGGAGUAUCGGAGAGGAAAGUGGAAUUCCUAGUGUAGCGGUGAAAUGCGUAGAGAUUAGGAAGAACACCGGUGGCGAAGGCGACUUUCUGGACGAAAACUGACGCUGAGGCGCGAAAGCGUGGGGAGCAAACAGG
rnacentral:rRNA from 1 species